ensembl:snRNA U6 U6 spliceosomal RNA
AUGCUUGCUUGAGCAACACAUAUACUAAAACUGGAAUGAUACCAAGAGAAGAUUCGCAUCACCACAGCACAAGGAUGACACAAAGAUUCGUGAAGCGUUCCAUAUUUAA